CCUUGUGCUGAAUAAUUGGAUAUCGUAUCCACUUAAAGCUGCCUUGUGUAGUACGUCUUUGUGUCUCUCUUUAUAUUCCAAUAAGGUCGGUGAUCUUGAUGCCACACACUCAGAUGUGUGUUCAUCUCCAGAUACUACUCCAUGCUACCUGCCCUUUGUGUUUUGUUCAAUAACUGGGUAUCAUAUCCCAGCCAGUAUGCCGUCUGUUUUGUGUUUGUUUCCUUCUAGUUCCAAAGGGGUCAUCAUGAUGUUACCUUCUUUCAAUAUGGUGCUUUGCAUGACUACUGUUGUAUGGUACCAUCUUGUGGCCAAUAAGUACAUCUUAUCCUAUGACCUUUGCUAUGACCCUUUGCAAAUAAGUAGAAGAUUGUUAUAAGCGUCAAUACUCCGUAUAAAUUGAUCGCUGCUGUGAGUUCCCUUUCAGCUUAUCGUAGGCAUACAUUAUUGCUAGCACGGUAAAGCCAACCAACACGAAUGAUGAAGUAAACGUAGCGGUACUUCUGUAUACCAACACCCUUACUUAAAUGUACCGGUGUCAUUCCCUACUGGCACAUAUAUUCUUAUAUGCUAGCCAGCUUGUAAAAUUAACCAAUUAAAAUAAUUAUUUCAAGAUAGAAAUAACUUAUCGGUUUCUGGAAGCAUGUGUAAUGUGAAUUCAAGGACUCGACGGAAGUUGAAUCACUUCAUCUAUAUUGCUUUCAGUAUUUUGGGUAACUAAAUUUAACAUUUGCACAUACAAAUGUUAAAGUACAAAUGUUAAAUCUAGUUACCCAAGCAGAAUAUGAAGAUAGUUUAUAGUAUAUAUAUACUAUAUAAAUCUAGUUAACAUUUAGUCUAAAUGUUAAAUCUAGUUACCUAAAAUCCUGAAAGCAAAAUGUAUAAAUAUAUAUCUUUUAAGGCAGUAUAAGCUUCGAUUCCUAUUGCUGCUCUGUUAAAUCUCAUCUUUCGUUGUGGCCCAACACUCUAGUAUGCAUGUUGCACCAAGCUUCUUUGAGCCGCUCUGCCCUCUGAUUUUGCUGCGUAGGGGAAUCUUUAUCAGGUUGGGCUACUUCCAGUUGUGCGAUGUAAAGAUUCGUAUUUUCUAGAAGGUAGACAAAAAACUCGCGUUCUCUUAAGGCAACAACCGGAAGAUUCUGCAGCGCACAGGGCAUACCAUUAUUGUAGAAACGACCUUUAGUACCGAUCUCCAACCCCCUUUAAAACUGGUUUUGCAACCGGUACCGUUAUGUCGGUCCUUUAGUACCAGAUCAAAUAAGUACCGGUUGGUAACCAGUAUCAACUUGUUUUGCGGCCAAAAAAAUAAAGAAAAAAACAGUCAGAAGGCUCGCACACACGCGCAUCACAUGAAAUAUGCGUGUGCGGGGUCCAUGGGAUUCGAACCCAUGAAAUCAAGCUGCACGCGACCCUUCGUUACCAUCUCACCUACAUAGCGCAUAUGCUUUCCUGAAGUAACCCGUGGAGGAGGCUUUAGUACCGGGUCAUAACACCACCCGGUACUAAAAAUGACUCUUCAGUACCGGGUCAUAACACCACCUGAUACUAGUAUCGGAUGGUGUAAUGACCCGAUACUAAAAGGCCUCUAGGGACCCUCAAAUUUGAACCCGGUACUAAUGCUAAUAUUAGUAGCGGGUCAAAGUGCAGCCAGAACUAAAGCAUGGGAUGAAAGGUCAUAUUUCUAGUAGUGUAUAGUUGUUGUGAAGGACUGACUUGGCUGUCCUCUCUCUUCUCCAUCCCCUUGGUCUUACGCCGCCGCUCGCACGCGAGCCGGUGCCCAACCAGAGGAGUGAGAGCUAGGGGCAGGUUGGGAGGUGGGGAUAGUGACUGGUGGCCAGGGUGAUGGUUGAUCCUGGUGGGGUUAGGGUUUCAGGGUUUUCGAGCUUCCUAUGGUCGGCGAACCUAGAGGAGAAGCUCAACAUCAGCUGCAACCCGCGAUGGUGGUGGUUUGGCCGGCGCCCGAGGCGAGGCAGCGCGGGAGUGCUGCCGGUGGGUUGGUGUUGGCACUCAUUAUUGACAACUAUUUUGUUCAUAAAAUAACACUCAAACUUGCUGCUGCUGCUGCUGCCAUCGCCACCCUAGCCAUAAUAUAAAGGCAAAAUUUGCUAAAGGACAUGCAAAAUGAUGCUAGUUUGCUGGCGGGCAUCGUUGACCUUGUAAUAUGCUACAAGACACUCUAGUUGUGUAUCAAUUUGCUGAAAGACAUUGCUAUGACUAAAAUAAUGUUUCUGGACUGAGUUGGAGAGAGAGAUGGAGUGAAAUGUCUGUUUUGCCCAUGACCCCACUGGUCAGAUCCUUCUUCUUCCACCCUCCUUUGUUCUUUCUUCAACCAUUACCCAGCUCCAGCGUGUUGCAGAUCUACGAGGGUGGCGGCCUGGGGCGAGGGGCAUCGCUCGCCCUUGGAGGAGCGCUGCGAGCGACGGCGCGGGGGCGGCAACAGCGCGUCAGAACCUGACUGUUCGUUAGCUCCUCUCGCUGCUGGGGAAGAAGGAGGGGGAUGGGCCAUGGACGGGGUUCCCUUGAAAACCUCAGCGUCGAGCUCGGGCGGCUACGCGCAGGCAGCACUAGGCUGCUUCACGGGGAGGGGGCGCGGCCAAUCAUUGGCACCCCACUGGUCCAAUGCUGAUGAAGAUGGUGCCAGCGUCGUGUGAGGACAUCUCAUCUCCUCGAGUUCCAUGGCCAGCACAGGUGAGCUGCCGCUACCACAAAACAGAGGUUUCGUGAGAGUCAAAAAACCUUAUGAAAAUAGCUAAAACCAUCAUGAAAAUAAUCCGUGACAUGACACUCUCACGAAAAUCCUCUCACAAAUAUGGUGCCAUGAAAAUACCAUUUUCAUGAGAGUGAACUGUCAUGAUUUUAUAAGCGUCAAUACUCGGUAUAAAUUGACUACUGCUGUGAGUUCCCUUUCAGCUUAUCGUAGGCAUACAUUAUUGCUAGCACGGUAAAGAGAACCAACACGAAUGAUGAAGUAAACGUAGCGGAACUUUUGUAUACCAACACCCUUACGUACCGGUGUCAUUCCCCACUGCCACAUAUAUUCUUAUAUGCUAACCAGCUUUGAAAAUUAAGCGAUUAAAAUAAUUAUUUCAAGAUAGAAAUAACUUAUCGGCUUCUCGAAGCUUGUGUAAUGUGAAUUCAAGGACUCGAUGGAAGUUGAAUCGCUUCAUCUAGAUUGCUUUCAGGAUUUUGGGUAACUAAAUUUAACAUUUGCACACACAAAUGUUAAUGUACAAAUGUUAAAUCUAGUUACCCAAGCAGAAUAUGAAGAUACUCUAUAGUAUAUAUGUACUAUAUAAAUCUAGUAAACAUUUAGUCUAAAUGUUAAAUCUAGUUACCUAAAAUCCUAAAAGCAAAAUGUAUAAAUAUAUAUCUUUUAAGGCAGUAUAAGCUUCAAUUCUCUGUUAAAUCUCAUCUUUCGUUGUGGCCCAACACUCUAGUAUGCAUGUUGCACCAAGCUUCUUUGAGCCGCUCUGCCCUCUGAUUUUGCUGCGUAGGGGAAUCUUUAUCAGGUUGGGCUACUUCCAGUUGUGCGAUGUAAAGCUUCGUAUCUUUUAGAAGGUAGACAAAAUACCCGCGUUCUGGAAGAUUCUGCAACGUGCACGUUGGCGCUGCCACCGUGGUUGCUUAAGCAAAUGCAUCCAACUGAAUCGUCCUUAAGCUGAAUAAUUGGAUAUGGUAUCCACUGCUUAAAGCUGCCAUGUUUAGUACGUCUUUGUUUUUCUCUCUUUAUAUUCCAAUAAGGUCGGUGAUCUUGAUGCCACACACUCAGAUGUGUGUUUAUCUCCAGAUACUACUCCAUGCUACCUACCCUUUGUGUUUUGUUCAAUAACUGGGUAUCAUAUCCUAGCCAGUGUGCCAUCUGUUUUGUGUUUGUUUCCUUCUAGUUCCAAAGGGGUCAUCAUGAUGUUACCUUCUUUUGAGGUGUCUAUGAUGACUUCGUUAAUAUCAAUAUUAACCAAUUCAAUCUGUCUUAACUAUUUGUAAGGGGUAUGAUGUAUGCAUGAUUAUAACAAUGAUUGCGCAUACAAUCGCCGCCAAAGAAACGGUCAAUACCAUUAAGACAUAUUACAGACAAUUCUCAUAAUCUAUAAUGAAUAUACAUAUUCACUACUGCAGAAGACUGUCAUUUGUAUCGGCUCAUACGUGCCAGGGCAAAGGUCACCCUUGCAUUAAGUACAUUUGCACGGUAAAGACAACCAACACGAAUAAUGAAGUAAACAUGCCGGUGCUUUUGUACACCAACACGCUUACUUAAAUGUACUGGUGUCAUUCCUCACCGGUAGCCGGCUUGAAAAUUAACCAAUUAGAACAAUUAUUUAUUGUAUCGGUGUGAUUUUUGACCUAUUGGAAUAUGAAUUUGACCGUUACUGCAUUCGUCAAGACUCAAGAGAGAAAUAACUGAUCGGCUUCUUAGAGCGUGUGCAAUGUGAAAUCAAGGACUGGAUGGAAGUUGAAGCGCUAGCACUAGUAGAGAAACGACUUUCCAUCCACCCCCUUUUGUCCCGGUUUAAAGUUGGCUCGGGAUAAAAGGUUCACCAACCGGGACUAAAACUCAGUCACUGGUGGGAGGCUCACCAACCGGAACCUUUUAUCCCGGUUGCAAAGGCUAAUGGGAAAAAAAGACUCUGAGAGGCCUUUUAUCCCGGUUUGAAACACCAACCGGGAUAAAAGACCCCCCUUUUAUCCCGGUUGGUAACACCAACCGAGAUAAAAGGGUCAAGAGCCUUUUAUCCCGGUUGGAAACACCAACCGGGAUAAAAGACCCCCUUUUAUCCCGGUUGGUGUUUCAAACCGGGAUAAAAGGGCCCCCACGAGGUGACUGGAAGGUGACUGGAAGGGGAUUAAAUCGUGGGGGACCCUUUUAUCCCGGUUGGAAACACCAACCGGGAUAAAAGGGGGUCUUUUAUCCCGGUUGGUGUUUCCAACCGGGAUAAAAGGGUCCCCCACGAGUUAAUACAAAAGGAUAGUAUCCCCUACAUAGUCAGAUGUGGUGUGUAGGUGGGAUGGUAAGGAAGCUACGCGCGAGCUCCGGAAUUUUUUUUUUUUUUUUUUGCAGCGUCGGCGCUCUCUACCCUUUUAUCCCGGUUGGUAUUACCAACCGGGAUAAAAGGGGGUCUUUUGUCCCGGUUGAGUGACCCGGGAUAAAAGACCCCCCCUUUUUUCCCCGGUUAGUUUAUCCCGGAUGCAUUUUCGGGAUAAAAGCACCCUACCAACCGGGAUUAAAGCUCACUUCUCUACCAGUGUAGCUUCAUCUUCCGCUGCAAGUUAAUUGCUUGGAUAAGAAGUUGUAGCCGCUGCAAGUUAUAAAUAGUCCCGCUGAUGCUGUGCUCCGAAGUCUAUACUAUAUAUGCGGAAACUAGAUUGCUUUCAGGAUUUUGGGUAACUAAAUUUAACAUUUGUACAUAAAAAUGUUAGUUUACGAAUGUUAAAUCUAGUUACCCAAGCAGAACAAGAAGAUAGUAUAUAGUAUAUACUAUAUAAAUCAAGUUAACAAUUAGUCUAAAUGUUAUAUCUACUUACCCAAAAUAUUGAAAGCAAAGAAAGAAUAAGUAUAUAUCUUUUGUUGGAAAAUUGGUCCACGGAGAGGCCCAUUUAGGCCUCGUUCGUUUCACCGGGAUGGGAUUCCAGUCAGGAUUACUUCCAAGUUCGGUUUGAGUGAUUCCACCCGUGUCACUCAAUCCGGCUAGGAUUCAUUCUAUGGGUGAGGAGGUAUGGUUUCAAUCCAGGCCAUCUAAUGUAGAAGGAUUCCAAUCCAGGCCGGUUUUCGUUCCAGGCCAGACUAAAACGAACAACACUUUCAAUGCAAGUCUGGUUUCAAACCGGGCCAUUUCAAACCACCCGGAAUGGACCUCGUUCCAGGCCAAUCCGGUGAAAACAAAUGAGGCCUUAAUGGAAUCCCAAAGCAAGAGUUCAGUGGCAUUCUAUAGUCCCAUGCUGCUAGUUUGAGUUGGUCGAAGCCAACUUAAAUAGGAGAGCUCUCUCACUUCUCUAAAUACGUAACUGAAGGAGAGAAGGGGGCUUGGGUUACACAACGCACGCACGCACGCAUAUUUGCGUUCUUUUCGCGUAACCAACCGCGUGACUUGAAACUUGCGACGUAGCGUGCUGCUAAGUCAAGUUGAUAUAACCUUUUUGCCGUUUGCAUGUAAUCUUUUGACAACGGUCAUUGGAGGUGAUAAGCACGCAGUCAAUACCUUAAUCUUGAGUUAAUAGGGUGGUUACUACUGCCAAUUAGUGGGGCAAUUUUGUAGGGGAAACGGUUAGCAGAGGGCUACCGUCUUCUCUAUAAGAAGUUCUGGAGACGUCCAGGAACACACAUGUACAUGUGAGAGACCCACAAAUUCCUUCCCUUCUCCCUUUUCCAUGUGGUGAAGUGUGCUGUGGUACUGAGCUGCUUGAUCUCGCCGCUCUUCUCCUUGGCAUGCACCGAGGAGGAGGGUGAGCGGUAUCUCCGAGCUAUUGCCGUCAGGAAGCCUGCACGAGGGACAACAAAAAGUUUUUGGGUAGCGCAACUGCCAGCACAACUCUCCCUCCGCCUCUUCUUCACGGUUGAUGGCCACCACAAGCAUAAACCUCGCCUUCGCAUCCACGCAAAAGGGUCGCUGGGGUGCCUUCUUGCAUCGCUUCUCAGCCUCCUUGACUUGCGGCCAGCCAAGAACUGCGCCACCACCUCGGGUGCACGCCACCACUCCAGGGCUGCUACCCCAUGCCUGCGGCCGCCGCCGGCCACCACGCGUGUGCAACCGCGUCGCACCGCUUCCUUGCUUUGUGCCACCACUGCUGCUGUACCACCAGCUCCACCACCUUGGGCUGGUCGCCAGAGUGACUGAUAACUUAUUAUCUGUAACUACUAUUAACUCAGGGAUACAUGCGUCUUUUGCUUCUCCUACUAAUAUGUCCUAAAAUAUCUAGGAUGCCUUAUAUUUCUGGACAGAGGAAGUAUUUGAAUAAAAUGAACCAAUUUAAAAAAAUGUGUUGUACACUACUACAGAAAGACCUAUCAGUGUCAAACCCAAAAAUGUUGUCACCGCCAGUUUUGGGCAUCAUUGGUGAAAGGUUGGCGGUGAUGGGCUUUCCCUUCAACAACGGCACUGGAGCCGACGGUGAUUGACAUUAGAAAACAAAAAAGGGGACCCUACCUAGCCACCCCUGCAACCCGGCCGGCCGUGCCUCCCCUCAUCCCCACCACCUCGCCUCCCCAUGACCCCCCGCCGGCGCCCUUGCGCCUAGCCCCCUCAACUGCCCAGCCGGCCACCCUCAUCACGAGAGAGAGGUGCAUGUUGUAUAAUUGCGUGAAUUUUUUAAUGUUUAAUUUCAUGUAAGUUCCGUGUAAUAAAUUGUACAAGUUUUAUUGUAUAUAUGAAUUCCAUAUAUAUAUAUAUAUAUUUAUAAUUUAAUGUAUGGUUUCAUGUGUAUAUUUCAAUCAUGUGUAUAUUUAGUAGAUUGCCGAUUUUCUUUUUCUACUAGACAAGGGUUGAUGUAUAAUUACGUGUAUAUGUUUAUUGUACGGGCAAUUAGGACAAGUUUUGUAUAAAUUUCUUUUAUUUGAUGGUUGUUGUAUGGUUUCAUGUAUAUACAUUUAUUGUACUACUUUAGACAAUUUUUAAUUUAAUGUUUCUAUGAUUAGAUGUGUGUAUAACUAAUUGUAUUAUUAGUUAAGAUGGGAGCUAAAGAGGAUGAAAGGUAUAUAAUGGAGCAGAUUAUUGCUAGCUCAAACGUUGCAAGAACCUACACCGAGGGUGAGGGUAGCUAGGUGGACAUGUACCUCAACAUGUCCAGUGAUGGCAAUGACGAUGAGGAGCACGAGCAUGACAUCUAUGAUAAUGCGGAACAAGACAUUGCAGAAUUGGAAGGUUCUAAUGAGGUGUGCUUCAUGUUGACAAUCUAGUUGGCUUUUUUUCGUUGGUCACACCUUAGUUACCAUAGAACUUCGUCUCGGGAGAAGAUUGGUGGUGGUAUGGUGAUUGGAAUUUUAUUUCCACGAAAUCUGAUUUCCAUCGAAUCAUAUCCCUUGUAUUUAUCUUCUUUUUAUUUGUGAGAGCAUCUUCUUUAUGCUUGCAAAACAAUUCAAGUGCACAUACUACCCCUAGGGUGACGAUUGGGAGUAGAAAUAAUUGCCAACAAAACAACACCACAUCCUAAGAUUCUUAACUUGUGGCAUAAUUAGUCUAGUAAAAAGAAAGAUAAAAACCUAAUGGGUGUAUGUGAGUGCAAUGUGUAUAUGCAUAUGAGUGGAAGGCAUAUAAGCAAAGACAAUAUUUACACAUAGUUCUAAACACCAUGUUUACAGCUAGGUUGCUGAAUUUCUCCAUAGCCAUAGAGAUUAAUUAACCAAGGUCAAAACACGAUGUCUAUCCCAAGAUCAGUAAUUAUUUAUAGCACAAGAAAAAGAAAGCGCAUUGCAAAGUUUAUAAACCAACCAAUACAGCAUGAAAACAAGAUGAAUAGCUAGCAAGGUUUAUUAAACUGAAUGAUGACGGUCUGUAAGCAAGUUUAAACACCAUCUUUACACAAGAUUGCAAAUGGAAAAUGCCCAUAUGAAGCACUAACAUGGAUAUGAAAUCAUUCAUCAUAAAGCGUAAAGAACAACCAAGCCAACCAUAUGCAAAGCAUGAAUGGAAUGCAAUGAAGGUGCAAGAGAACAUUUUUGGAUGAACACAUUAUGAUGAUGGCAAAAUGCAAUGCAUGCAGAAAAAAUAAAUAUGAACAUGAAUAUGAUGAUCAGGGGCGGACCCACUAUUGUGGCCUGGGUAUUCCUCGGCAUACCCAAUAUUUUUGGGAAAAUGUUUAGUAGUUUUUAAUGGCAUAUACAUGUAUAAUAUAGUUUAGGUGUUAAAAUUGAUAUUCACAGCUAUUUUGGGCUCCAAUUCGCGUCCAAACCAACCUGGCCCACAGACCGCACCCGGCCGCCCGGCCCAUCGGCCCAUCUUGUCACUGAUCCUCCCACCACCACACUCAGCCCGUCAGUUAGUCAGGUCCCGAGCUCCUGCCUGACCUAGUCCGCUACCACCGCCAGGCGCCAGGCACAGCUGUACACGCCGCCCCCGUCCACCCACGUCCGCCGCACGGCCGCGUCGCGCCCCCCCCCGGCGCCCGCUGCUGCCAGAACCCAUUAGGCCUCCACCGGCAAGUCCACCCACAGUCCCGCGCGACGCGGCAGCCUCUUGGCUCUCGGCGCUCGCGGCGCGCCAAUGCCUGCGCAGCCCCAGCAGGCGACUGCCCCCCCCCCCCCCGCAUCGGGCCUCGGCCCCUCCCCAGCUCCCCCUCCCCCCUCCACCAGGACUGCCUGCUGGCCCCCACCGCGAGGUAAUCGAAAUGGACUGCUCAAUCUCUCAAUCUGUUGACAUGAUGCACACGGUUGCAAAAAUAGAUGUGUCAAAAUAGAUGUAUUGCCAAUUGCUAUAGAUGCAUAUGGUUGACAUGAAGAAGUCAAAAAUGACAUUUGGUUCCUUGUAGGCAGUCAAAAAUGAAGAAGUCAAACAAUAUUGAUCUGAAAUCAAUGCGGGAAAGGGCUACGAAGACACACGGGUAGAUUCCCUUGUGAACUUUUUAUGUCGUUCGUCUAAAUAUAUUUUUGCAAUGGGCAUACCCUACUCUGAAAUCCUGGGUCCGCCACUGAUGAUGAUGGUCUAAACAUAAAACAAGCCUAGAUUAAUUAGCUACAACUGAAAUUAAGCAAAGGUUAAUGUCAUUGACCCUAGCUCUAUCCUAGCUUUUACUAAAGUCCCGGCACAUAUAGUGGUUGGGCCCACUCUCUCUACUUCCCUCUCUGCUGCAUGCACACACACGAGCAACUGGAGGCCCAACAAAGCCCAGAAGGGUUCGGCCGAACCCGUCCGAUCCAGUCUGAGCGCCGCUCCCUCCCAGCCUUCGCGCAGAUGCUCCUCCAACGUUCCUUGACCCCUCCCUCAGUGUCCCAUUGGGUUUAACAUUGUAGGAGAGGAGUCCCUUUUUUAAAAUCUCAACCACCUCCUCUCCUCAUUCACUCCACUCUCAUCUCCAUCAAACUCACCAAGAUCCACAUCGGAAAUACCUGCUUACCACCAUGGCUGGCAAAGCCCUCGUCCCUUUCACCAACUUGGGCUUGACCAUUGAUCUCGAUGGGAAAAUCACUCCAGCAAAUGUCAUUGUCCCUGUCGGCGAUCUGGCGAUGGAGGAGGUCCAGGCACUAGAGGUCGAGCCCCUAGCCAUCAUACCGCCCAAGGGGUAAAGCAGGAGCAUGACAGGCGCUGCUAGGGGUUCAGCCGAACUCCCAGUUCAGCCAAACGAGGACGGCGUCGCCUCGGCCUCCCGCUCGACUGCAUGCUUCCCCUUGCCAAGGAGGACUCCAGAACAGCGGGCGCGUGCGUCAAGUCCCUACAAAAGGCUGAAAUACAAUGAAUAUCCAGGGUCACCCUUGAAGAUGGGUGAACGCUACGCCGGGUCCUUGUUUGACUAGUACGGCGAUGCAUUCUGCCACCGCUAUGUCGUUGUCGAGAUUAGCGGAUCAAGACUUAGACUAGUAAAUUUCUUUUAUGCGCGUAAGGCUUCAGAUGGUGGCGUGGGAGACAUGGGUUUUAUACUAGUUCGGGCAAUGGAAUACCCUACGUCCAGUGUCUGGAGCUGCUUGUGUUGCCCACGCGGGGUUCUGUAGUAGGGGUUACAGGUGUGCGAGAGAGGGAGCUAAUCCCAGGUCUCUUAGGCGUGUUCCGGUCCUCUAGAUGGGAGAAGUGUGUUCUGUUUGCUUGGGAGUAUCGGUUGUGUCUGAGUUGUCUCCGGAGCCUCCUCCCGUCUCAGGUCCCCGAUUCUCCUUUCAUAGCACAAGGAGACCAUCGGGGUUACAGACGAGACCGAGCGUGGGGAGGAGUAAAGAGAUAAACAUAGCUAGGUAAAAAUACAACAAGAAAGGGGGGAACCAAGUUUCUAGGUCACCGGCGUCCUCGCCGGCCUUCGACUUCCGCCGGCGCAUUUGUCGGAGGAGGGUGGCCGCCAUCGCGUUCUGUCGAUGGCUUCCUCGGUGACUGUAGCCACCGGGCGUGAUGAUGGCAUUUCGUCGUGACCCUUUGUCUGUUGGGGGAGGCGGCGGAUCCUGCCAUUCUGCUGACGGCUCGCGGAGUGCGAACGUCGCAUCCCUGCCGCUGGGCACGCGGGGCGCGAGAACGUGCGAGGCUUCCCCCUACCCCAGGCGGCGCAGGCCAUGAGUGCCCUGUGGCAAAUCGGAGGAGGCCGCAGCUACUGUAGCUUGUACUGUGCAGCCACGUAUGGGUACUUGUGGCAGGUUGCGUGGUGGAUGCGGAUAUCCUUCUCCCUGACAGAUCUGCGGCGCAUUUAUGGCGAGAUCGACAUGGGGACCCACAAGACCCGCGCCCAAGGCGGAUACUUGUCUGGAGGGCCCGGGUUAGCCUGACCCCCUACGCUUGGGGUCGGGCGAGGCGGAGACUUGCGGCGGGGCGUCGGACGCUCCCGACACUAGACCUGCGGUCGCGCAAGGCGGAGCUUGGUCUUCCGGGGGUCGGGGGUGCCGGACCCCAGGAUGCGGGGUCGGGCGAGGUGGAGCGUAAUUCUUGCCUCCCAUGUUGGGCCGAUGGCAGUCUUUGUUACCUCUAGUGGGCUUGGGCCUUUAUGUUUUGUUGUUUCCAUGGGCUUCGAGAGGUCGUUAAUAUUUCCCCCCAACAGUAGCCCCCGAGCCUGUGGUGGAGUGGGGGCGCUCCUCCGGAGGCUACUAUCAUCGCCCCUAGGGAAUCCUCGCAGUUGAUCCGGGAUAGGAGGUGUUGUUUGCACGGCUUGACCGAGGGGGUCGAUUAGGCGACGCAUCCUGUGAGCGACUCGGUGCGGGAGGGUUUCUUGUUGUUCCCUUCUGUCUGAGAGCCUUAAGUCGAGACCACCUGCGUGGCCUUUGGUUGCAAGGCCAGCCCCCGAGCCCCCGCACGUUGCAGGGGACCGGUCGGAGGCUAGGUCGACUUUUGUUCAUUACCCUCAAGCGUCUGUUCGCUAGGACGGAGGGGGCGAGCCGUGCCAUGCUAUCCUCAUCGGACGAACCAUGGUGCUCAUUGAGUUACUAACGGGUUGAUUCGAGUGGGAUCCCGGUCCCCGUUCGGGGGGGGUCCGGCUUGGGCCAAGCUGGUGGCGUACCCCAGGCUCCGGUCGGCCAGUUCAUAUAGUUCCUGAGUCCGUUCGGUCGGACCGGGGGCUCAUUGCCUUUCUUCGGGGAAAAACCAUGAACUUUGAUGCCGGUCCAGACUCGAAUGUGAGAUUGAGACGCCCGGGGCUGUCGCGUGCCCGGGUGAUGGCCGCUAGCGGACCCGUCUCCUCUCACCCCUCACUCGGGGGUAUCCUGAGGCGGCUGUCGAACCCGUGGCGGGCCAGCCUUCGAACCUCUGGAUCGUAAUGGGCCGUAGGGGCGUUUUCAGCCCCGUAUCCCUUUUUACCUUUUGGUGGGCCUUGGGCCGAAUCAUGGAGGAGGUCGGGCCUUGGGCCGGAUGCGGAGGAUGUCGUGCCUUGGGCCGGAUGUGGGGGACGUCGUGCGUGUCUUCCGGGAGACGAAGUGGUGGAGGGUGCCAACCCGCGAAUCGAGGGAGGAGGGGAUGUUUCUACUGCAGGUCAUGCGCACGGUUUCCGAAAAGGCAGCGGGCGUGACGGGACGUACCUCGCGCCGCAUUUAUUGCGAUGGGGGCGUCUGUUCUGCUUCCCUCGUGCCUUCCCUAUAAAACGAGGACUUCGCCUCGCCGGUUCCGCCCGCCAUCUACCUUCAAGCCUUUUCGCCUCCUCGCGCGCCCUUAGCUUUCCUGUGCCCGCUUCGUCUUCCUCCGCCCAGUGCCGCGCCCUUUCUCCCCAUCCGCCGUCGAGUUCUUCUCCCUCCGGCGAUGGGAUCCUGGGCGCGUUCCCACUUCGGCCCCUCACGCGCCGAAGGCCUAGUGAGGAAAGGCCUCCUUUGCGAGAGGACGGAGACGGAUGAGUGGGGGUUCCCUGAGAUGGAAGAGGUGCCGACUCCGCCCACCGGCUACGUCGUUUCCUUUGCCCACUUCCACGAGAGGGGGUUUGCGACUCCGCCGAGCCUCUUCUUCCGCGGGCUUUUGUAUUACUACGGGCUUGAGCUGCAGCACCUCAACCCCAACGGGAUUCAGCACGUCGCGGCGUUCGUUGCGGUGUGCGAGGGGUUCCUGGGCAUUGAGCCCAACUUCUCGCUGUGGAAGUACUUCUUCACGGUCAGCCUAUACCAGAAGGCCGAGAAGAGGGGAAGCCAGCAGCGGUCGACCCCGGUGCCGAUAGGGUGCGUCGGAAUCCACCUCUGCCAUACUCGCGCCAAGGAGUAUAUCGCGAUGAAGACCGCGGCAUCCCACAAGGGGUGGCACCAGCAAUGGUUCUACGUGAAGAACUACUCCAACCCCCCCUGCCGGAGUUCACCGGCCGCAUUAUUGAAGCGGCGCCGGAGGUGUGGGUGUACGGCCCGGUGGAGAAGGAGAAGAAGCGGAUCACCGGCCUGCUGCAGGCCAUCGAGCACCUGAAGGAGAGGGGACUGACCGGAGCCGGAGUCAUCGGGGCGUACCACGCCCGGCGGGUGGCGCCGCUGAUGCUCCGGGUCCGCUCGCUCGCCGACAUGACCCCCGGUGCUCUCACCGAUGGCACUGUCCUCGCGACGGGUGCUCUCGCUGCCUCCGAGAUCCGGCAGCGGAUCCGGGAGGCGCUGGAGGACAAGGACGCCGAUUACCCGGUGCCCGGCCACCCUCCGAUGCGCCCGGACGAGAAUUUCAUUGAUCUGGUAAGGAUUUUGCGCGCCAGUUUCCCUCUCUUGCGUUUCUUGGUAUGCCGUUCUGACGCGAGGCCCUCUGUGUUUGCAGGGUAGCAUGACCCGGGUCGUCGACUUGCGUCCGCCAGUGUCGGAGGACGCCGAGUGGCGGUAGCAGAACCGUCUCCUUGCCGAGAAGCAAAAGUGACGCAAGGACAAGAGACAGCGAAGAAGAAGAAGAGGGCCGCCAAGGAGUUCCAGCGGCGGCGGUGGGGAUAGGUCGUGUCGGAUGACGAUGACGAUGAGAAGGAGGAGGAGGAUGACGAGGAGGAGGAGGAGUUUAUCCUGUCCCCCCGGUCAGGGGCGCUUGUUAUCCGGGAGCCGCGCUCCCAAGCGGCCAUGGGGGACAAGGCGGGCGAGCUGCCUGCCCGGACCCGAUCCUGCGAAGCUUUGGGGGCGCGCCCCAGGGGUCGGCGCAGAGCGCCCCCCGGGGGUCGACGGAGCCGACCCCCAUCCCUACACCUGCAGCCCAGGAGCAGAGGAGCAGCGACAAGCGGCCGUUGCCAGAUGCCCCGGGGUCGGCGUCCAGCUCAGAGGCGAAGCGCGCGCGCCGCCCUUGCGCUGGGGGAACGUGAGUUGAAUUUCCUUGCGAAUCUCGUUCCUUUCCAUGCAUUGUGUUUGUUUCCGCUGAUGCUGUUUGUUGUCUCACAGCACCGCCCCUCAAGGCCUUGUCCCGCCGUUGGCGCCAAAGAAGGCGUUGCGGUGUUGUCGCCUCUGCGGGGCGGACCGCGGCUCCGCCGGCGGCGAGUGGCGGGGUCACUGGUGAGACCGCGGGUCCUACCGCGGAGGUGGCCCCUGCGGCGGCAACCGGUGGAGUGGUGCCACCGCCGGGCAUGGGACAGGGUCUGGACCCCGCUCCGUCCUCCGCCUCUUCGGCCGACCCCGCGGUGCAGAGUAUCGCUCCUGGGGGCCCUCAGGCCGGGGAGGUGAUUGACCUCGACGCCGACGAGGUGGAGGAGACGGCGGCGGUGGAGACGGGGGCGGUUGCCCCAGCGGCCAUGACGGGGACGACGACGGCGACGGGGGAAGGAGAGUCUACCCCCGCGGCCACGGCGGGGACAGUGGCGACAGAGGAGGCGGGGACGCCCGCCCCGGCGGCUGCGACGGAGGAGGCGGCGGUGACGGAGACGGGGGCUUCCGCCCGGGAAGCCACAGCCGAGGUGGCAGCGGCGACGGAGGUGAAAGUGCCUGUUCUGGAGGCCACGGUGGGGGUGGGGACGCCUGCCUCGUGGCCACGACGGAGGGCGAGGCGGCCCCAGGGACACUUGCUCCGGCACCCGCGUUGGAGGCGGUGGCGCCGACGGGUUGGCCCGUGGCGGCCUCGACGGGGGCGGGGGUGCGUGCGCCGGGACCGUCGGUGAGGCCGGCGACUUCCGGGAUGGUGGUGCCCGUCUUGACGGCGGCGGCGGCGCGGUCGGCCCCCGCCCUUGCCUCUACCACUCCCAUUCCCAAGGCGUGGAGCGGAUCCGUCCUGCGUUGGUCGUCUCGUGACGACCCGCAGAGGCCCCUCUUCACGUUGGAUGAUGCCACAGAAUGGGGCAAGUGGCAGGCGCUGCAGGGCGGACUCGCUAACGUCCGCGCCGCUCUAUCUUCGGCGUUGGGGGAGCUGGACGGCGUCAUCUUCCCCGGUGGCCGGGUAUGGUGCUUUCUCCGUUGGUUAUUUUCUUCCCGUUACUUCGUCCCUGAUGGCACAUUGUUCUGCAGGCCCUCCAAGAAUGUAGCCGGGGAAAAUCUGAUUUCCUUUGGCUCGAGCAGGGGCUCUGGGAGCGCUUCAACUUGGAGUUGCAGCGGACCGGGGAGCUGACCAUGCAAGUCGCCACCGUCUAGCAUGUCAUCGACGAUCUGCGAAGGCACGAGCAGGCGGCACAGGAGGACGCGCGGCGGGCGGAGGCCAAGUUCCAGGUCGUUGCCGAAAGGGCUCGCUGCGACCGCGAGGAGUUCCAGGCCGUUGCCGAAAAGGCCCGCCACGACGCUGAGGAGCUCGCACGGCUGAAGGUGCAGCAUGAAGCUCUUCAGAAGAGCGGCAGAGGGCCUGGCAGGACCGGGACGCCGAGAAGGUCCGGAAGGAGGAGGCUGAGAAGGUGGCGGCCAACCUUGGGGCUGAGGUCAGCCAGCUCCAAGUGCAAGCGCGAGAGCUUCAGGCCUCCGUGGCCCAGGGGCUCGACCAGGAGCGCCAGCUGAAGGCCUAAUCCGAGGGUAUGACUCUGUUUAUUUCUUUGUCUUUGUGAUGUUGCGGUGAUAUUUUAUUUGGCGGGUUCUUCUGGAUGAUCCUUGCAGAUGAGCUCAACUGGCUGAGGGAGGUGCUUGACGCGGAGCGCGCUGAGCACGGCGACCUGCGGGACGCGGUCCGCGUCAUCUGUGACUUCCUUAGUGUGGUCCAGGGGGAGGGGACGAGCUCGCUGGCGGCUCGUGUCCUCGGGACGUACCGCCGGACCAGCGAGAUCGCCCUGGAAGCGCUUCGCACCGGCUUGAGGCAAGCCUUUGGGGUCUUCGGCUCCCACUAUUCCGGCAUCAACUUCGCCGGGAUGAGCGGGGGAUACGCCACCGGCUACUACGAGGCCGAGCUGGAUGAGAUCGACGUGUCGGUGCUCAGCCCGGCGGAGGCCUUGGUGAAGCUCCUCGAGGAUGAGGCCGUCCCGCCCGAAGAUCCCCGGACGAGUUAACUAUAUCGGGCUGGCGCCCCAGAUGUAAAUACGUUAGGGAAAGACUUGUUUUUUGUGAGGGCCGUAGAGGCCUUUUCUAUGAAUUGUCGUAAAAAAGUUUUUGAUUCCCUUUCUUGCUUUUUGGACUUGGAAAGUUUAGAGCACGUUGUCGGGCGUGUCAGUAAGCUUUGAUGAGCGAAGGCACCGUAGCCGCUGGGGCGUCGUUUUUUUUGCAGUCCGAUCAAUCUUGCCUGAACACCGUUCGUGCACUUUCUCCUUUUUAUGCCCAAAAGUUCAGAAAGAGGGUCGGCUCGGAAAGAGAAAGCGUUUUGAGAGGGUGUCAAGUGGCUUAGGUACUUGCGGCAGGUUGCGUGGUGGACGCGGAUAUCCUUCUCCCUGACAGAUCUGCGGCGCAUUUAUGGUGAGAUCAACAUGGGGACCCACAAGACCCGCGCCCAAGGCGGAUACUUGUCUGGAGGGCCCGGGUUAGCCCGACCCCCUACGCUUGGGGUCAGGCGAGGCGGAGACUUGCGGCGGGGGGUUGGACGCUCCUGACCCUAGACCUGCGGUCGGGCGAGGCGGAGCUUGGUCUUCCAGGGGUCGGGGGCGCCUUACCCCGGGAUGCGGGGUCGGGCGAGGCGGAGCGUAAUUCUUGCCUCCCAUGUUGGGCCGACGGCAAUCUUUGUUACCUUGGGUGGGCCUGGGCCUUUAUGUUUUGUUGUUUCCAUGGGCUUCGAGAGGUCGUUAAUAUUUCCCCCCAACACUAUGAGGAGGACUUGUGGGCAGAAAGUCAGCUACCACAAACUUGCCUCUGAAUAUUUGGAGUGCAAACAUUGGAUGGUGGUUGUGGAGAGCCCCAGCCAUACCUCGCACCCGUGGAGAGGUAAUUGUCGGAUUGCUUGGUUCGUCUCUAGAAUGCGACAAGGUCAGGCGCCACCUCUCACUGCUGCCAGUCAGAAGGCCGAGGGGCCAGUUUCAACAUAGUAAUGAGAAUCUCCGAAGGCCAAUAUGGUUAAGCAGCUAACCUCCAUGAUCAUAGACUUACGUUUAGAAAAUAGGAGGCUUAGCGAUGCGUUAACAGAGCAGAAGUUAGAAACAGAAGAACUUAAGGACGACUUCCGUGUCCUCCGCCUUGGUCUUUGUGCUAAGAUAAAGCGCUUGUACAAUGCCACGGGGAAUGACGGUCUCUACGAUGCAGCUCAAUAGACGUGCCCCUUGUAUCCUUUCCUUUAGGCACUUUAGAAUAUGUUUAUUUGUUUUCCUUCAUUUUAAUUUCCAAUAGAUUGUUAGCGCCUCCAAUUUAAUUUCAAUAAAGUGUAGACUCACCGGUCAUCCAACUUGAUGGAGUCCUUUUGUCACCUAGUUGUCUUUGGAAGAAGUAGCUGGGUACAAAAUAAGUGUGGGGGAGAGCCACAGACUCUCUAGAGCUGAAACAAUGCACAACACCCACAAAUAGAGAAAACCACGCUGCACCAGCACGUACGUGAAAGUGGAGCCAGAGCUGGACCCAUAGGGGUUUGGCCAACCCAAGGGGUGGCCCACUCGGGCCAUCUUCAUCCACCGCGUCGGUUUGUGUCUCUUUACCCCUGAUCUCCCUGAUUCAUGAGUUUGAAUGAAUUUUAAAUCUGAUCAACUAAUUCAAACUCAACUAAAAUGAAUCAACUGCUCCACCUGCUCUACAUGUUUUCUAUGGUUGGCUUGCAUAUGUUUUAUUUCAUGCUUAUCAUCUUGAUGCUUGUGAACAAAUAUCUUUAGGACAGCAUGCUCAUCUAAGUAGUUGAUGUGUAUGAUAUGGUUCGAUGAUAUGAUCUUCACUCUUAAUGCUUAAGUGCUUGGGAAAAUCUAUUUGAAAAUUUAAAAGCCUUUUUGAAAUCUCCUCUUUGAUGUGCCAAAGUCCUACCAAAGCCAUAUGAUAAGUUAUCUUGAAAAACCAUUUGCAUAUGUUGCUUGUCUUUGCAUUGAGCUUUGUCAAAUUGGUGUGACCCUUGUCACAAUUCUUUUCAUACUUUCAUGAUCAAGACUCAUGUGCACGCCAUAUACCCCUUGCUAUGCUUCUAUGAGAUGUUAGCAUUGUACCAUCCAUUCAUUCCACAAAAUAAAUGCUCCACCAUAUGUGUUGGUCUCCUUCUAAGAUUAUUGUUACAAAAGAGAUAUGGGCUAUCAAAAAAAAAUAUGAAUGUCCAAGAAAGUUGGACACAUGAAUGUCCAAUAAAAAGAAAAAGAAAGAUAGCCAUGUCCUCAGAAAUAUUUACAAAGGGAGAGAGAUCAUACAAAAAGGAGUUUCCAUUCCAUCCACCACAUCCAUACAUGUGCACAUCUUGAUCUGAUUGUAUGACUUAUUUUUCUCUUUGGAUCUGGUCUUUGACUUUGCAAUAUAUGUGAUGCAAGCAUGCCUUAUCCUUCAUAGCCUACCUUGAGCUCCACAUAUAGCCAUCAUUAGAAGUAGGAUGAAGAAAGGCAAGUCUAAUGCCUUGGUGAGGACAUAUACACAUUGAGUGAUCUGAGAGAAUCAAAUGAGGAGCUAAGCAAGGUUUUGUUUUGAAAACUAAUUGAAAAAUCCCAAGCUACUUGGCAUAAGGAGUUGAGGUGACUUGAUUCAAGACCAUUACAUUCCUCAACUACCCAAGAUGGCAUGAUAGACACUCCAAAGUUCACAAGUGCAGGUAUGGUUUGGAAUAUCUUUUAGGCUCGCUUCAUACCUUUGAAAGUUAUGUUUCACCUUAGUCCUUUCUCGUUCACUCAAGGAUAAGCAAAGGCUAAGUGUGGGGGUGUUGUUGAUGGCUCUUAAGUACAAAAUCUGCGCCAUCAACUCUUGCAUAAACACAUAAAAUAUGAGCAUCAACAAUAGUGGUAGGAGUUAUUACAAACGAAUUCCACAAGUCUUGGUGAAUAUUUGUAUGCAAGCCCAAUAGGAGAGAAAAGACACCUCAAAAGCAAGGAAACACACUCUCAACCAAUCAAGAGCAAGCACAUGGAACCAUGGGCCCACAACCAAAAGGAAAUCGACUACAUUCCAAACACCCUAUACCCACAUGAGAACCCAUAGGGCAGUGACCCAGAGCAAAGGUGAUGCCAGAGUGUAGAUGGUAGUUAGCAUGCCAAAUUUUGAACCGCAAGCGCUCGGAUUAGUUGUUUCUUUUCCCUUAGAGAUUCCCCCAAGGUUUAUCAAUCCAUGGAACAAGGGAUUUGCACGUUUCACUAAGCACUAAUCAAUGUAAUUGAAAGCUUUUCGAAUAAGAUAUGAUUAUGCUAACAAAGGAACUAAGCAAUCUAGAUUAAGAUGGAUAGAGAGUACAGGUUGUGAACAAGAUAGAUUAAACGCUUGUAGAUGCAAUCACCAUGCAUGAAUGAAUUAGAUCUAGGUGUUAUUGUGAGUGGUUGUGAACCAUGCCCAACACUUUCCCACCCGCAACAUUGUCACUACAUGUGGGUACUCAACUAUCGGAACAUAAGAACACAUCAAGAUGAUCAUUCUAGGUAAGCAAAUAAGCAACCCAAAGUAGCGCUGGCCAGCCUUUUCAUGAAAGAGCAUCAUCAAGAUAAGAUUGAUAACAAAAUAGAUCUCAACCAAAGGUUCAGCGAUUACAAAUCAAGAUCUUCGUAUAACCCCGAUGACAAAUAGAGGUAUUACCCCCAUGAUCUUACACAUGUUGAUGAAUUUUAGGGUAAAGGACACCCUGUAGAUCAACUGGACCAAAGAUGAUGAUGAACGGGGGCAGGGAAGGCCCAGGUUGAUCAGCCUGCGCACUUUUGAGCCGAUCAGCUCAGGGGGUUUCCUCCUCCCCUGGUGCUCCUCUUCGCGUGGCCUCCUCUGGAUCCAAUCUUCUCUUCAUUUCUCCUACUUGUGGCGGCAAUGGAUGGUGUUUGCAUGGUGAUUUCCUCUUCUCCCCAACUCUCCCUCCUUGAAGUCCAUGAGGGGGUAUUAAUAGUCUCCAAUAGGCGGCAGCUCUGGGUCAAUGUCAGUGAAAAAAUCCUAGAGAUCAUCGUACACUUCAUGCUGAGGAAACAAGAGGUUGACCGAGCCCUGGGAUAGACCAAGAGGAUCAUCCUAGAGGGUCCCAGGCUAAUCGGUCUAGGCCCUUCCUAGCCCUUCUAGUCCUCUCCUUCCUCGUGCUGGCUUUUCUCGAUGACCCUUGUCCAAAUAUCCAUGAAGCUCUAUAUACAUACCCCCUUGAUUAUGUUGUAUUUCCUGUCAAAAUACAAUGCUCCAAAAUACAACACAUAUGCAAUAAUAGGGUUAUUUCAGGUGCCAAUUGGUGGGUUAGUAUACGAAUAAGCAUGAAAAUACUGUUUAAAUGACACUAAAAGUGUGUCAAUAACGAGCACCAACAAUCCCCCCACGCUUAGAUCUUGCUCGUCCUCGAGCAAGUCUAGCGACUAAAAGAUCUUGAAUUAAACCUGAGCAAGCGAGUCAAGUACCUAGCCUUGAAACAAAAGAUUAGAGGAGCAGCAAAGAUAAUCAAAGUCUGGGUGUUCAAAGAUUUAUCUAAGCAAAGAUUCCCCUACAACUAUUAUUCAGAACCAAGUAACUUCAAAAAUCAACUACACUUAUUUUCUGGCUUUUUUCAGAGGGUUUUUCUUUCAUCAUAAAACAAUCUCCCUGCAACAAAAUUGAAAAAAGAAUUAUUUUCAAGGUGCUUACAUGUCGCUUAAAUGAAUGUUGGCUAUCCUACUUAUUUGCAAGCUCUCAUCUCUCAAAAUUCAUUCAAUUAUAUGGUGGAGUUUGGGUAAGGUUAGCUAGAAUCAACACGUAUAUUAUUGAAUUAAGAAAACCCUCUAACGGUGGCCUACCUUCCGAGCCAUUGAUCAUAAGAAUAUCCACAUAAUGUGAAGUUUUCAAGGAUGAGAAGAUAUAGAAUGGUGGACAUGUGCAAAGGCAAAGAAAUAUAGUGACUCUGAGGCACAAGCAAUGUCCUCGUCGUUGGAUUGCAUAUGGUUGUAAUGAAAAUAUGUUCCUUAAACAAGUCUAUCUUUUCUUUGCACCACUCUUGAUCUUCAUGACAGUAAAAACUCCUCCUUUAUUUCUUUCUCUCUUUUCCUAUUAUUUCUUUUUAUUUGUCUCAAUACUUUUAUUUCUUUAUUUCUUUAUUUUAAUCUCUUCUCUGAACCUCUUCUGAACACCACAUAAUAAAAAUAAGUUUUAGAUCCUUCCAGAGACCUUCCAGGAAUUUGCUACAUGAAAACCGAGGCAAGGAGACCCCAGGCCGAUUGGCCUAGCCACUCCUUUGCUCUCCUCUAGCUCUUCUUUCUGGUGAAGCUUCCUUAUCUUGUAUCUUUCCAAAAAUUUCAUAAAGCUCGACUAGAAACGGAACAGAUCUUCAUAUAAUGAGUUGUGUUCAAGGAAUUGGUAAUAAAAUUGAGAAAUUUGUGGUUCGGGUUUACGAAUUCAGUACAAAAAUAUGAUUGUUCCAAUGAAGAACUCUCAUUACUGAAUAUUGACGAGGCAAGCAUUCAAAGAUGGUAAAAAGGAUAUGAUCAAUUCUCAAAAUUAAAGCAAACCAAGAGAGAGCGAUCCUAAUUCAAUUCAAAGUGUCAAAUGUUGCUUAUGGUGGUAUGAAUAAAUAUUUUUAGGCAUUGGGUAGGAUAAAUAAAAACUCUCAACCUGGUUAAAAGAUAUUGAUCAAUCUUGUUUUUGCAGAGGUUUUAAAUAAAAAAUAAAAUUUUAAAUCACCUCCAAUUCAAAGCCUUACUCAUAAAUCAUAAUCAAAACUGAAGCACUUGAUCAUCAUAAAGCAUGGGUAUUGCAUAAACAAAUCGAUUACUAAAACUCCACAACUACGAUUUAGAAUUCAAGACAAUGCUCAUAAUCUAAAGUUGCAAAGAUAAAAUAAAAGACAACCAAGCCAAGGUAGACACUAAAAACACUUGCACGAUCCUUGAAUUUUAUUCAUGCUUCUUCUCACAAAGACGCUAAAGUAGCCAUGUAGGCCUAAGUCUUCCCAAAAGCUUAAGAAAACUACUACUUUAUCUACUUUUGGUUGAAAUAAAAAGACUAAUCUAGACUCUCACAUGAUUCGACUCGACCAAAUUAGAUCCAAAAACUCAUACGAGCGACGAUCUCCCCCCCCUCACGCUUAAAAUCUACGACCUCCUCGUCGUAGCCAUAUGGAGUACAAGGAAAAGAAGCUUGUAAACGCUCUAAUGACGCUACCCGCACUACUUGCACACGGGAUGGUUGCUGCUUCCUUCGCUUUGUUCUUCCUCAUGUUGCUGCACAUCCCGAAGAGCUUCCUCACGUUCCUCUGCAAGAACUUGAACUCGUCCUCCUGACGGCGAUCAUUAUCUUCUGCCUUUUGAUCCAGAGCUUGUAAGGCUUGCAUGAUGUCAUCGAACGCAUCGAAGAGGUAGUGGAUGUUCUUCCUGCAAGCUGUGGAACAUGUACGAUCAUGCUCCUCCGAUUCUGGCCCGUCGUCUUCUAGAUCCUUCUCUUUGCCCUUGUCUUGACGGUGGCUAUCUUGCUCCUUGCUCGCCUUCUUGCCUUCAGCCCAAUCCCAGUACGUGUUGUCAUCUUCUUCAUCGUCACGGCCUGCAGCACCCUAUGAUCCAUUGUCUAUCUUGUAUGAAAGAAUCAGAAGCUUGUUCUCCUCAGGGUGUCUUGCGCGGUGCAGCGUUUGCAAGUGCAAGACUUGCUAGUUCCUUUUACACAUUGUAAUGUUCAUUGCAUGCUCUAAUUGUUCUACAUUUGUAAUUUCUUGGUGAAGUUUGGUUACUGAUCCACUGUUUGAUUAACUCUUGGGCCCAAACACUGUACUACUUCUGAUUAGAUAUCUGUAUCUUGACUUUGACCAAAAAAAAUAUCCGGCAGUUUUUGCCAUUAAAGUUUCAUAAAUCAUCUUGCAAAAAUCGUACUAUACAACAAGGGACGGUUUAUUAUAAAAUAUACGUUCCCCUUAUCACAUGCCACUUCCACUCAAAAGGCAACGAAUCAGUUUUCAAUCCUGAGUGAGCAAUUUGCUUUUAUUACCGAUGCCUCCUAUUCCCUUGUGCACCAAGUUUAUUUUGGAUAGGGCUGCAAAAAACGACUAACCAGCUCGGAUUCUCCACCUGCAAAACCGCAUCUGCAGCAACCAACCCCACGCGGUGGAAAAAAAAACAAAACCUAGAAACCGGACGGGGGUGGAUGUGGGGCUCGGAGCCCAAGCAAAAAACGGAUCGGGAGCGCCGGAGCAGGCCAUCACCGGAUGUUAGAGAUAGAAAAUGGUUGAAGUUUGGAGUGGAAAUCAAACAAGCCUUGGAGCAAAGGAAAAAAAAAGAUCAAACCACUCAAGCAUUCAUUUGAUUUAGAAAAGAGAACAUUUGUUAAGGUGGGGAGUUGAAAUCAUCUUUUAAUUAGUUCCACGUAUCUGGUAUCAUUACAGUUGGUUUACUUGUGUAAGUAUAAGUAGCUCUGCCGAAGCCUUUGCUCCUAUAAUUUAGUAACUAGUACAAAUGGAUCAAUAGGAAAAUCAAGUUGCAAUCAUUUCUCAGCCAACCAAACCUAUGUAAAUCAAAUUAUUGUCCAUGCCCGGCAUGCACAGGUGCCUGCCAUGCAUGCAUUGUUGCUCCAUUGUAAUAACCAUUAUUGUCCAUCGAUGUUGCAGCGCAUGUGUGCACUGUGCAGACACCAAGCAUCGAGAUUAUGUACUAGUAAGGUGUUGAAAUAAUGGGCCUAGCCCAUAAGUAAUUUCAGAAUUUCAAAUAAAUCUCAAAGGCCCAUGUGGGCAAGAGGUGGAGUGGUGCAAGUCUUUAGUCCCACAUUGCUAGUCGAGGGGAGGGAUGACCAACUUAAAUAUGGAAGUUGUCUCCACUCCUCCAAGCUAUGUGUGAAGGGCGCGGGCGCGAGGCACUUGCGUGAAUGGUCCGCCGAAAUCUGGCCCCCCUUGCGGGGGCGCGGCUUCCUUUUGCCGUUUUAUUUUUUGGUUACUUGGUCGUUAAGUCAUGGAAUCCUAACCGGUUUAGAUCACGAUCGUGAAGGUUUUUGGGAAGCGCUCUGCGCGACUGCUCGAUCGCUUCUUCCGCUUCGUCAAGUUCUUCGUCGACUCCUUCACCACGGCUCGUCUACCUCUUCGUCGCUCGGGCCUCACUCGUCGUCGCGAACAACGUCAGGCUGCUGAUCGUCGUCGCCUGCUGUAUCCGGUAGUCGUCCAGGAGCCGGUUUUCAUCAAGAAAGAAACGUACGGUCUCUUAACUCACAUUAUGUCUUCCAUACUAGCUAUUAUGAUUGUUGCAGUCUGAUAGCUCUGGAUAGUAUGGUAGAAUGUCUGAUUCUAUUUGCAAUGAUAGACUUGUCUAGAUCUUGCGUAGACAUGUCUAGUUUAAUCUGCUGCUUGUUCAUCAUAUUCAUGAUUUAUUUCUGGAUUAAGUUAAAACUAAAAGUGCUUAUAUAUCCAACAUAAGGUACCAAGAACACGUGAAGCACCCGGGGGAGGCUGCUCCACUCCGCAUGCACAGGUGGGCACGGCACCACUACUCGUCUCCUUCAGGCUGAGGAUAAGUGAUGUACGCUGAUCAACAGACCACGACGGAACCAGCAAUAAUAGUUUCAGCCUGCCUCACAGUAAUUAAUAUAUCCUGUAUCCUCCGAGGACCCCUCCCCUUAAUCUUGGCCUAUUGCAUCCAAUAAUGAUAUGUGUGUUUAUCCAAAUUUACGGCACCUUUGGCGGGGGUUCCACCCAGCUCCGCCCUCUCCACCUUCGGUACUCCAUGGGAAACCAUUCCUUUGGAAUCAAGGAAGCUUGAACAGUAUAACGAAUAAAGUUUCAUAUAUCCAUUUGAUUUCACAUGAAAUAAAAUAUUCUGUCAGAACCAAUGGUUUCACUGAAGCUCCAGGCAGCGAGCGAAGGGGUGAGAGAGGAUAACGCUUACUGUGUGUUACCAUCGCGUGCACCAUGGAUGACCAACGCGCAGCCGAGAUGAAACGGCGGACCUAAACAGGUCCUCGCUAUUUUUGCAGGUUCUCGACCAGGCCAGUUCUUUAGGCCAACCUAUCAUUCACGAGUUAAACAUACGGUGGCUGGAGAAAUGUUCUAUUCUUUUAAACAAUACCAGCUGGUUCCUCCGUUUUUAUUCCACCAAUACAAGCACCACCUUGUAACAUUUCCUAUGUUUUUUUUCCUUUCGUCUGUUUUCUCACUACAUGCGUUGCUCUUUCAUGCAUUUUUUUCCAUUCCUGUAUUCCAAAUAGGUCUACAUGAACACAAAAUGAACUAGGGGACAGAAAAAGCCAGUGAAGUUAGUUUUGAGCUUCACCAGCUACUUGCUACAUAAAGUGUGCUAUAGUCGCAGAAAAGCUAAGCUGGAUCAGACGUGGCCGAAACAAUGCCAAAGAGCUAGGUCCCUAGCUGAUGGCAACACAUCAGAUGACUAGCCUGCUUUUCUGUAAUAAUGAUAUUGAGCAAUACACUGCAUGGCUAACCUGCUUUACAAUAAUUGUCAUUUUAUAAUAUUGGUCAUCACGAGAGAUGCACAUUGCAUACACCGGCCCAUCCCUAUAAAUAGCCAAGCCUUUCAGCCAUCUUGGGCACCUCCUCUCAGGGCCUCGUCUCACCAUCAGACAUCUCGUUCCCAGUUAUAAUUUGCGAGGUUAGAUCAGGCUGCGCCAUGGCGUCCGCAACUGCUGUCAAGAUCGUCGCCACCUUCAUGCUGGUGCUGACCAUGGGCCACCUGAUGGCCGAAGCAUCACCGCAGCCUCGGCGUGUGCUUGCAGAAACGGAGCAUGCUGCGGUGUCCGGGAAUCCUGGCCUCCCAGGUGAUGCUAGCGUCAUGCAGGUCCUCGAACCCGCCCUAGUUUCUCGGCUUGCCUGCAAACCAGAGUGCACAGUCCCUUGGCCUCCUUUUGUAUGUAUCUGCUAGAUCCUCUUCCUGGCUCAACGGAACUUCAGGGAAAUGGCUGUGACGUCGGCCAAAGAAUAAAUUGGAUGAACAUAAUAUACCCCGGGUAGUGUAGCUUGGGCUUUUGUUGAGCGUCUGGUGCUAGUUGUAUUUUGUUUGCUCAUGUGGCUUUGCUUCUGGUUGCAUAUUGGCUUUCCUAUCGCUCUCUGUUGCAGCUAUGGUUUCUGCCAGGUGUGUGUUAAUGCGGUUUGUAAGCGGUGCUUGUUCCUACCUUCUGUUUUCAAUAAAAGAAGUCGGAGUCUCCCUCCGACUCUUGUUAUCAGUCAACAAAAAUGAGUUGUAUCAUAUAUAUCUGCGUCUUUUUUCUACGUAUCUUUGGGCUGCUUCAGCUGGAAGUUUAUCGUAAGUACGUGUAUCAGGAUGAUCGUUUGAAUUAAAACGAAAUGAUAAUGUGUGGCUGCUAGAAAUGGAAUGAGCAUCUUACUAUAUUACUAAUUGGAAGCCUCCACGUGAAGCCACCUAGAAAUUCUAGGUGGACGUUUUAAAAAAAACAAAACUCAUAGAAGCCUCCACCACCUAGGAAUCCUAGGUGGACACUCUAAAAAGAGACAAAUCCUAGAAAUUCUAAAAAAAGAAAAAAA
rnacentral:lncRNA from 1 species